CAGUCGCCGCGGGAAUACGAAGGGUGCAAGCGUUAAUCGGAAUUACUGGCGUAAAGCGUGCGUAGGCGGUGAGUUAAGUCUGCUGUGAAAUCCCCGGGCUCAACCUGGGAAUGGCAGUGGAUACUGGCUCGCUAGAGUGUGUCAGAGGAUGGUGGAAUUCCCGGUGUAGCGGUGAAAUGCGUAGAGAUCGGGAGGAACAUCAGUGGCGAAGGCGGCCAUCUGGGACAACACUGACGCUGAGGCACGAAAGCGUGGGGAGCAAACAGGAUUAGAUACCCGAGUAGUCCCUGUCUCUUAUACA
rnacentral:rRNA from 1 species